AUAAGGAUGUAGUCUCGUUUUUGA
rnacentral:siRNA from 1 species